rnacentral:rRNA from 1 species
UACGUAGGGCGCAAGCGUUGUCCGGAAUUAUUGGGCGUAAAGAGCUCGUAGGCGGUUUGUCACGUCGGCUGUGAAAACCCGAGGCUCAACCUCGGGCCUGCAGUCGAUACGGGCAGACUAGAGUGCUGUAGGGGAGACUGGAAUUCCUGGUGUAGCGGUGAAAUGCGCAGAUAUCAGGAGGAACACCGGUGGCGAAGGCGGGUCUC